rnacentral:lncRNA from 1 species
CAAUUUAUGUGUUAUAUUUUUUUUUAAUCAGUUCCAAAAAGAAUGUCAUACUUCUUUAUUUAGAAAGAGUUUAACUUUAAAUUAAAGCACAAAAGCAAGCACGCCCAACAAACAACGUGCAGAGAUUUAGAAUUACCGUCAUAAAGAUAAACAUAAUACGUGGAGAAGAAAGUGUACCAAUAUAGAUAAUUCAUAACCUUUCUGAGAGUGAUGGAGGAGGAGUAUUGAGUCUUCCAUGACCAUGGCAAGUAAAUAUAUUUCUAUCUUUUGAGUACAAACCUGUUUCAAUAAGAUAAAUUCAAAGUGAGAACAAAACUUGAACAUUCUCUGCAAAGUAAGAAAUUGAAAAGAAGAUAGAUAAAGGAGAAAUGAUUGUAAGCGAUUGCAAUCAUACUCAUUUAUAUAAUAAGUUAGAUGAAUUAUGAUGGUUGGAGAGGUUAUGUGUUUUAAGUUUAACACAAAAUUAAUAAUUUUCUAAUUCUUGUUCUGCUUCGGUAGUUAUUAAAUUUGAAAAUAUCAAAUGACGACAAAGCAAUGCGGUAGGUGAUCUUCCUAUAAUUAUUAAUCAAUGUAAAGUCUUCCCACAACACGUGAAAAAUACAUUAUCUUUGUCGGUUCAUCUAAAUAAAUAGAGAAAAAUGGGAGAAAUGAGAAGUUGUUAUCACCACCAUUAUAACAAAAAGGAAAGAAAGAUAGACUAAUAGGCUAUAUUCAAUUUUUUGAGAUACGACUGGAUUUUGUGGCAGAGAUAUAAAGUUCUUCUGGAUUGUCCUUUUCCGGUGAAAGAAGAUGCGAUGUAUAUUGCAAGUGAUUAACUCCUCGAGAUGGAGAGACCAUAAGGAUAGAAAGUUGUCUGUCAAACAGAUUACAUUGCUUUUGAACGCACAAACUGUAUAGCCAUGAUCUAUCAAAACUCAAGCUUCAAAAAGGGAGAAUCUAGAAGUUCAAUGUAGAAGUAAUUUCUUUCACUAAAUUCAUCAAACACUUGAGGCACAAAAAGUAUUACCUAAAAAUGUAACAAAACCC